rnacentral:lncRNA from 1 species
CUUCAUGCUUCUCGGAUUAAGAAUCCUAUCCUUGCAAUAGGCACUGGGUGUUAAUUAAAAAGUUUUAAAGAGAACAGAGGUGGGACCAUUCAUGUUUCAGAAAGAUCAGUGAAUGCAGCAUGGAGGUUGGAUUGGAAGUUGAGACAAUAUGACCUGCAGGAACUGAUUAGAAGAUAAGAGAACAGAUAAAGGCUUGAACUAAAACAAUGUCAGAGCUGAAUUCUAAGGAUAUUCAUAGAUAGAAUCAUCAAGGAAGGAUUAGUGGCUGAUGAGAUAUGAGGAGUUAGGAAGUGAUAGCUUCUGGGAUUCUCCUGUGAGUUAAUUAUCAGACAGCCUACCAAAGAUAGGAACUAUAAGGUGACAGGAACAUUUUGGUUAAAAAUGAGUUUCUUGUUGAUCACUUUGAAAGGUAUAUCAUAUAUUUGAAAG